rnacentral:rRNA from 1 species
GUCCACGCCGUAAACGAUGCCGACUCGGUAUCCGGGGUCCGACAAGGACGCUGGGUGCCCCAGCUUACGCGGUAAGUCGGCCGCCUGGGGACUACGAGCGCAAGCUUAAAACUCAAAGGAAUUGACGGGGGCCCGCACAAGCAGCGGAGCGUGUGGUUUAAUUCGACGCAACGCGCAGAACCUUACCCAGACUGGACAUGCACCUGCAAGCCGCUGAAAGGUGGUCGCCUUUGAGGGUGGUGCACAGAUGCUGCAUGGCUGUCGU